rnacentral:rRNA from 1 species
AGCGAACGCUGGCGGCAGGCCUAACACAUGCAAGUCGAACGCACCUUCGGGUGAGUGGCGGACGGGUGAGUAACACGUGGGAACGUACCUUUUGGUUCGGAAUAACGCAGGGAAACUUGUGCUAAUACCGAAUGUGCCCCGUUACGGGGGGAAAAGUAUUUUAUCGCCAUUAGAGCGGCCCGCGUUAGAUUAGCUAGUUG